rnacentral:tRNA from 1 species
UCCCCGGUGGCUCAGAUGGUAAAGCAUUUGCCUGCAACGCAAGAGACUAGGGUUCCAUCUCUGGGUGGGGAA